GAUGAACGCUGGCGGCGUGCCUAAUACAUGCAAGUCGAGCGAACGGACGAGAAGCUUGCUUCUCUGAUGUUAGCGGCGGACGGGUGAGUAACACGUGGAUAACCUACCUAUAAGACUGGGAUAACUUCGGGAAACCGGAGCUAAUACCGGAUAAUAUUUUGAACCGCAUGGUUCAAAAGUGAAAGACGGUCUUGCUGUCACUUAUAGAUGGAUCCGCGCUGCAUUAGCUAGUUGGUAAGGUAACGGCUUACCAAGGCAACGAUGCAUAGCCGACCUGAGAGGGUGAUCGGCCACACUGGAACUGAGACACGGUCCAGACUCCUACGGGAGGCAGCAGUAGGGAAUCUUCCGCAAUGGGCGAAAGCCUGACGGAGCAACGCCGCGUGAGUGAUGAAGGUCUUCGGAUCGUAAAACUCUGUUAUUAGGGAAGAACAUAUGUGUAAGUAACUGUGCACACCUUGACGGUACCUAAUCAGAAAGCCACGGCUAACUACGUGCCAGCAGCCGCGGUAAUACGUAGGUGGCAAGCGUUAUCCGGAAUUAUUGGGCGUAAAGCGCGCGUAGGCGGUUUUUUAAGUCUGAUGUGAAAGCCCACGGCUCAACCGUGGAGGGUCAUUGGAAACUGGAAAACUUGAGUGCAGAAGAGGAAAGUGGAAUUCCAUGUGUAGCGGUGAAAUGCGCAGAGAUAUGGAGGAACACCAGUGGCGAAGGCGACUUUCUGGUCUGUAACUGACGCUGAUGUGCGAAAGCGUGGGGAUCAAACAGGAUUAGAUACCCUGGUAGUCCACGCCGUAAACGAUGAGUGCUAAGUGUUAGGGGGUUUCCGCCCCUUAGUGCUGCAGCUAACGCAUUAAGCACUCCGCCUGGGGAGUACGACCGCAAGGUUGAAACUCAAAGGAAUUGACGGGGACCCGCACAAGCGGUGGAGCAUGUGGUUUAAUUCGAAGCAACGCGAAGAACCUUACCAAAUCUUGACAUCCUUUGACAACUCUAGAGAUAGAGCUUUCCCCUUCGGGGGACAAAGUGACAGGUGGUGCAUGGUUGUCGUCAGCUCGUGUCGUGAGAUGUUGGGUUAAGUCCCGCAACGAGCGCAACCCUUAAGCUUAGUUGCCAUCAUUAAGUUGGGCACUCUAAGUUGACUGCCGGUGACAAACCGGAGGAAGGUGGGGAUGACGUCAAAUCAUCAUGCCCCUUAUGAUUUGGGCUACACACGUGCUACAAUGGACAAUACAAAGGGCAGCGAAACCGCGAGGUCAAGCAAAUCCCAUAAAGUUGUUCUCAGUUCGGAUUGUAGUCUGCAACUCGACUACAUGAAGCUGGAAUCGCUAGUAAUCGUAGAUCAGCAUGCUACGGUGAAUACGUUCCCGGGUCU
rnacentral:rRNA from 1 species